CUCUCUUAUUUUUCUUUCUCUUCUUCUGCUUCUUCCCCCUGGUUCUCUUUUGGUGGAGAUUUAAGAGUUGAAAUAAGAAAUUUUGAGAUCAAGAGGGGUAGCGAAUGAUCAAGGAGUAACCGGUGAAGGUGGUGCUGAUACGAUUUUCGUAUUCAGAGAUAUCGGAGAAGGAUGAACCAGUGGAUCGCGGAACUCGAGGUAGGCAUGGCUUGUCAUCAAUUCAGGUGGGAACCCUGUACCUUUUUGUAAUCAUUAAGCUUUCUUUUUCCGCGAGCAUGAUGAGUCUUUAGUAUUUGAGUACAUGAAAGCGUAUAUUGUAGUGUUCUAGUUCUUGUAUCUUUGAGUAUGAUGUAUAUGUUGUAUCCGAAUAUAUGAUGUUGCAACCAUGUGUUUGUGUUUGAUAUGCAUUGUGAGAUCUCCUUGCGAUGAAUGUCUGUGUUUCCCCAUGGCUCUAGCUAAGUUAAGUAAGGCGAUAUUUCAUCCGUCGACAAUAUUAUUUAGUAGGGCGGUAAUUCAUCCGUUUAAAUAUUAUUAUAACUAUUUCAUUAGUAGGGCGGUAAUUCAUCCGUUUACUGUAAUCUCUUAAUUGAGAUAUUGGUGUAGAUUUCUUCGGAGAUCAUUAAGAAUUUAUUUUUACUGUAGUCUCUUAACUGAGACAUUGGUGUAAAUCUUAAGUUAAGAUUAUAAAGAAAUCUCAUAGCAGAGAUAUAAACAACUAUUUCGAGACUAAAGAGUCCUUCGAAUAAGACCUAAAGAAGUCUCUCGAAUGAGGUACAAUCUCAGUUGUAAUAAUAAAGAUAAAGAAGUCUCUUAAAUGAAACAUUGGCAAAUAUUUUGAGAUCAUGGGAUAAUCUCUAGCAUCAGAAAUAAUGAUCUCAGUUAUGAUUAUAUAGAAGUCCCUUAACUGAGAUGAACGAUCUUUUCAGUGAUAUUACUUCUUAUUAAUUUAGUAGGGCGGUAACUCAUCCGUUUGGAUAGUAUCUUAGUAGGGCGGUAAUUCAUCCGUUAUGAUAUUAUAUAUACUAUUUUAUUUGAGGAAAAUCACUCGUGUGCAUAUUAUACUUGUUCGUCUAACUUUUUGAUCUUGAUGGUAAUAUUCUGAAUCAUAGUUUGUAUGGGCACUCUGUGUGGAUGAUGUUAUUAUUAUUGGUUAGUGUUGUUCUCGCGUCGUCUUCUCCAAUGAGUUUGGUGAGGUUAGGAUAACACUUGCUUCUUGUUGCAUGAAUUGCUGAAUGCUUAGUUUCAUUACUCUUCUUUUCAAUUUCUGUUCUUGAAACGGUGAAUCAUGUUGGUGAUUACUUGGAAGCUAUAUGUUUCUUUGGGCACCCCUUUGGGACGAUGUGCUCACUUGUUCCCACUUUAGUUUCAGUAAUCAGAAGGAUUGAAGCGUGCGAAGAUAUCCAAUUUUGUGGCUUAGUGCUCUACCGAAUAUAGUGUUGACGUGUAUCUGUAUUAUAUGUAUUCUUUCUUUAUUCUGUAAAACAACACAUUUAUGUAUUUAUAUAACAUGAGAGACUUUCAAACAUAAUGUAUCAGAGAGUUUGAGAUUGUUUGUUAGCACUGUAUGUGAAGAUGGUUCUUGAGAUUGAUAAUAUGGAUUUGAUGCUUCAAUUAGUUUGUAAUCCUAUAGUUAGUAGGUUUAGGAGUUGGGGCGUCACAGCGGUACAAGUAGCGCAAAUAUAGUCCUUUGAAAUGAUCCAAUCUCUCAUUUGCAACAUGAGGAUCCAAUUGAUCAUUUUCAAGAAAGUCAUGCGCCUAAAAUACACGAGGAUCCAAACAAUCUCAUCGUUCCUUCUCAAGAGAGUCAAGCGAGUACAACAUGAAUAUCAAGGAUACGUGCAUGGAAGGGACAAGCAAGACAAAUAGGUUCUAUGAUGACUCUAAUGGACACUCUUGGUGAUGGAAGCGCGCCUAGGGAUGAACGAGGUAGACUUCAUCGAACGUGUUACGCCAUAUUCGAGGAGUAUUAUCAAAACUUCAUGAAAUCAUUAAGACCUAUGUGUUAUCUACCGACGACGUGGAUGCGGAUGAGAAUUGUGGUUAUCAUGUUGCGUUGGAACAAAUAGGCCAUAUAAGUUUGGCGGACGAUGAGAACUUAACCCAAUGCCAAUAUUGAGAAAGAUGAUGGCCUUACGCCUACAAGAAGACAAUGAAUUUUACAUAUCGAUGAUGAAGGAAGAAAAAACAAAGAAGUUAAAUUUGAUAAAAUGGAUGCUAGAUUACAAGAGAAGGGGAAUGGACCAAUUACCCGAGAGUAUUGGAUGAUCAUGCCUCUAUGUGGUCAUCUCUUGGGGGAAAUGUGGAAUUGCGUUAAUCAUAUAUUUGGUAAGGAAAUAUAUUUUACACACGCACCGAAAUACACCAUUUGGGAUGAAUUGCUUUAAAGAUCGGAGAAUUUUUUUAUUCAACCAUAACAACAUUCAUAAUGUUGGUCUUAGACUACUUGAAGAUUGUCUAUUACGACCGGUGUGUAGGUUUCAUGAGGAAUCAGAGCUCACCAAGGAAUAACUAAAAAAAUACAAUCCCAACAUGAAGCGGUGGGAAGUAUUGGUCGGGUCGGAUCAAAUGAAGGGUCUCCAAGUGUUGGAAUGAGUAUUUUCCUUCUGUUAAGAACAUGAACUAUUGGAUGCUUAUAUUUUGUCGCUUUCAUAUAUUGUAUGUUACAAACUGAACCAAUCUUAAUGAAUGAAAGUGAUUUGUCUUUCUUGGGUA